rnacentral:rRNA from 1 species
GACGAACGCUGGCGGCGUGCUUAACACAUGCAAGUCGAACGGAAAGGCCUGCUUUCCCUUGUGGAUUGCGGGUACUCGAGUGGCGAACGGGUGAGUAACACGUGAGUUAUCUGCCCCCAACUUGGGUAUAAGCCUGGGAUACUGGGUCUAAUUCCCGAUAGUACUGCAGGGUGGUGCCUGUGGUGGAAAACGAUUUUCUAGUGGUUGGGGAUGAGCUCGCGGCCUAUCAGCUUGUUGGUGGGGUAAAGGCCUACCAAGGCGGCGACGGGUAGCCGGCCUGGGGGGGUGGACGGUGACAUUGGGACUGGGAUACGGCCCAGACUCCUACGGGAGGCAGCAGUGGGGAAUAGUGCACAAUGAGCGGAAGCCUGAUGCAGCGACGCCGUGUGGGGGAUGACGGCCUUCGGGUGGUAAACUCCUUUCGACCGCGAGGAAGCCACCUGGUUGGAAGGGUGGUGACGGUAGUGGUAGAAGAAGCACCGGCUAACUACGUG